CCGCAGAGCCAGUGUGUGGAGAAGCUCCAAGCUCCCUCCUCUGACCCACUGCCAGCAGCCCCUCUCUCCGUCCUCAACUCUUCCAGGCCUUCCAGCCCCCAGGCCUCUUUCCUCUCUGUUCCUAGCCCAGGAUCCAGCAACCUGUCCAGCUCCUCACUGUCAUCCUUAGAGGAGGAGGAUCAGGACAGUGUACUCACCCCUGAGGAGGUAGCCCUGUGUCUGGAGCUCAGUGAUGGGGUGAGAUGGCCAGAAGAAUACCAAGACCACUCUCCUGUCUGUCCCCAGGUCUUCUCCCAGGUGGAGGUCUUGGCUUAUGCUUCUCUGUAAUAGAGGUCCAUCAUCACUGGGCUUUUGGAGAGUCCUGUCACUGGGAUUGUUAAAACAAAUGAAAGCAAACCAAAUUAUGAUCUAGGGAGUCUUGGAUUCCCACUGAGAACAAGGCAGCAUCUUCAGGACGUCAGACUCUCUCUUCACAACUAGAACCUUUGGCCUAAGUAAGCCUGGCCCCUAUCUCCCACCCAUGUGGAUCAUGGAAAGAAGGGAAGCCAACCAUGUCUUCAGGAAGGAUCGAAAUGUCUGUUGGGGAGGGCUAUAGUGGAGGACCCAUGGAAGAGCCCUCUCAUACUUACUUGGACUCCUUAGAGACCAGCUCAGCCCUUCCCCCAGCCACACCAUACAAGGAAACUAAAGGAGCAAAGUCAUGGAUGCAGUGGGUCCUAUCUAGCAUCACAGUCAAUGCUCCAACGUGGGAUCAAUGGAGGAGGCUGGAGGAAAGGAAGCGGGAGGACGUGGAACCAAAGUACUCCUCCCAUGCCACUGCCACUGUGAGCUUACGGAACUUGAUUCUGUAAAACUGUAAAGACUUGAGUUCUGUGACAUC
rnacentral:lncRNA from 1 species